CUGUUUUCGAACAAGAUUUCAUCAAUUUCAAAGACUGUCCAUAAAUAUUUUUCGAGUUUUGUCGACAAGUUUAAUCUAAUUAUUUAUUCCUGGGUUAUAACCUGUGUACAUCCCGCGGUACAUCAAAGAAAACCGACUCAACUAGAAAAUAACCUUGAUUAUUUCCUCAACUCGUAUUUAAAGAAUAGGAUCAUGCAGCAAUCAUAAAUACUGUGCAUCAUGUAAGACCCACAAAACAGUUUAGCAAAUAUUAAU